GUCUGUGCAUAUCACCCUGAAUGUGCCUGAUCCUGUCUGAUCUCAGAGGCUAAGCAGGGUUGAGCCUGGUUAGUACUUAGAUGGAAGAGGAAAGGCAGACA
rnacentral:rRNA from 1 species